ACGCCUAAUACAUGCAAGUCGAACGAAGUAGCAAUACUUAGUGGCAGACGGGUGAGUAACAUGUGGGUAUCUUCCCUUUGGUGAGGAAUAACACGAGGAAACUUGUGCUAAUACCUCAUAAGUCUUUACGGAGAAAGCUUUAUGCGCCAUUGGAUGAGCCCGCACUUGAUUAGUUUGUUGGUGGGGUAAAGGCCUACCAAGACUAUGAUCAAUAGCUGAUUUGAGAGGAUGAUCAGCCACAUUGGGACUGAGACACGGCCCAAACUCCUACGGGAGGCAGCAGUAGGGAAUCUUGCACAAUGGAGGAAACUCUGAUGCAGCGAUGCCGCGUGAGUGAAGAAGGCCUUUGGGUUGUAAAGCUCUUUCGUCGGGGAAGAAAAUGACUGUACCCGAAUAAGAAGGUCCGGCUAACUUCGUGCCAGCAGCCGCGGUAAUACGAAGGGACCUAGCGUAGUUCGGAAUUACUGGGCUUAAAGAGUUCGUAGGUGGUUAAAAAAGUUGGUGGUGAAAUCCCAGAGCUUAACUCUGGAACUGCCAUCAAAACUUUUUAGCUAGAGUAUGAUAGAGGAAAGCAGAAUUUCUAGUGUAGAGGUGAAAUUCGUAGAUAUUAGAAAGAAUACCAAUUGCGAAGGCAGCUUUCUGGAUCAUUACUGACACUGAGGAACGAAAGCAUGGGUAGCGAAGAGGAUUAGAUACCCUCGUAGUCCAUGCCGUAAACGAUGUGUGUUAGACGUUGGAAAUUUAUUUUCAGUGUCGCAGCGAAAGCAAUAAACACACCGCCUGGGGAGUACGACCG
rnacentral:rRNA from 1 species